rnacentral:rRNA from 1 species
GUGGGGAAUCUUCCGCAAUGGACGAAAGUCUGACGGAGCAACGCCGCGUGAGUGAAGAAGGUUUUCGGAUCGUAAAGCUCUUUCGUUAGGGACGAACGUGCUCUUUGUGAAUAAUGAGGAGUAAUGACGGUACCUAAAUAAGAAGCCACGGCUAACUACGUGCCAGCAGCCGCGGUAAUACGUAGGUGGCAAGCGUUGUCCGGAAUUAUUGGGCGUAAAGCGCGCGCAGGCGGGAUAUCAAGUCUGUCUUAAAAGUGCGAGGCUCAACCUCGUGAGGGGACAGAAACUGGUAUUCUUGAGUGUCGGAGAGGAAAGUGGAAUUCCAAGUGUAGCGGUGAAAUGCGUAGAGAUUUGGAAGAACACCAGUGGCGAAGGCGACUUUCUGGACGAUGUCUGACGCUGAGGCGCGAAAGCUAGGGGAGCGAACGGGAUUAGAUACCCCUGUAGUCC